rnacentral:lncRNA from 1 species
UACCUUUUUGUCACUUUUUCUGUGUUGCUCAAAAUCUCAGCGGAUGAAUAAGUUUGGGGGAUAGUUCAGGGAAUGUUUCAAGGGGUCUGUAUAUUACUGGUUAGAGUAGGCCUAACGCUUUUUUCACACAACAGCAGGAGCGCAAUAGCAGUGCAGUUUUGACUGAGCAAUACGUACACAUGGACGCAAUUUCGAGUAUCUUAUAUUCUCCGAUUCCACUAUUCCCUAUCAACCUGCUUUAUACCCUUCAUUACGUUCGUUUUCUCCGUUUUCUCUCAUUCCUUCUUUCCAUCCCUUCUUUCUCCUCUUCCCCUGUUAGGCCGGCGUCUGGUCGAGUAUUCGAGUUGCAUGCUUACUUUUAUUCAACUGGGUGUCUGAAAGACUGGGUAUAUUAUGGUUCUCAAUCACGAAUCAAGAAACGCUACUCAAUCUACAGGGCUACGCUAGCUCGUUGAAGUCUUUCCCUCAACAAUUAUGUGAUUAACUUGAUCACAACACACUUUAAUGAGUUGAACUUCCAGAAUAUAGAUUAAACGAAGCCACUGGAAAAACAACGUAAUAGUCGCAGGGGAAAAAGUUUUAUACAAGGGCAUCCUGUGACAUCCUGUGCACAAACUCAAUGAAAUCUGGUCUGAAAAAGUUUGUUUUUCUAGCUCAAUGCCUAGAUACCUUCCGGUUAAAUUAGGACAUGUUCUCGCUUUCUGAUGGCUAAGAAACCACUAUAGAGGAAAAUAAGUCAAUGUAUGGAACUCUUAAAUCGUAAUCUAUCCAUGGUAAACUUAUAACUGAUAACAUGCAGUUUACGACUAACUUGUUUCUUUGUAGUAGAACUUUUUCUCUGUAUAGUUAUCUGUAUCUAUUGCUCUAUCGAUACGGACCAUAUUUAGUACCUGUUUAAGCUGAAAUGGCAACAAAAGGUACACAGAGCAGUUGCAGACAAUCGAUAAAAAGUGAAGAAUAGUGUACGGGUCGGAAAUCGUGAUGUAAUGUGUCUGAACAGUACCGAUUCGAGUUUAGUCUGGUUCAGCUCUCUUUGGCAUAGAACACACGAUUUAGACAUACAAUAUAAAUGUCUGUAAACACGUAAAAAUUGCAAGCCAGCACGUGCGCUAUUAUGGUUGUUUCAAAAAUAUGCUUGACCCUUUUCACGGACCAUUGCAAGCGGGAAAAAAUCAAACAAACAUCCAUUUUAAUGACUUGUAGUAAACCAAGUUUUUUUUAUAUUUUUCACCCUUGUCUGGAUGUGCUUGUAGGCCUAUGAUGUCAUGCAUUUUGGGUAAAAAAACAGGCAUUGUUUAGACGUGACCUUAAGGGAUCUGCUGAAAAAAGCAAAUAUGGUUUACAAAUUACAUAUUAAUACUCAGACAUGUGGGGGAAAACAGUUCACGUGCAAUGAGAUAGAAUUCAUUAUUCACAAACGAGCAACUCAUGCAAAUCAUAAUCCAAAAUGUCCUAUGAAAUAACAAAAUUCAUUAUUCACAAACGAGCAACACCUUAAUCAAAAAUACAAAACAUGUACAAUGUACAAUGAGAUAACAUUGCCCCCAUUUAAAAUUGUAUUUUGCUAAUUACUUUGCGAACUCCAGUUUUUAACUUCAAAUAAAAAUCUCAUUGACACAGUAUGGUGACUCUUACUUGCCUCAAACUCAAAAUGUACCGUGGGUCUCACAAAGUCUCGUGUUUCUAAAAGAUUCUCGCUUGAGUGUAAGACAGGCUCUCUGCGCCAGUAUAAUCACGUAGUGAUGACGUCCAGGAACUAUUUGCUCUUUCUGUAGAUCAAUUAGGCCUAAACAUUAAAAAAGCUUACAUUUUUGGAAUGUUCUCACUUAAGUGUUUUGGAAGCUAAGUUAUCUAUUUAGUGAUGAGUAAAAACAUAACUUCUCAGACCGU